GCAAAAUGAGAGAGACAGUUGUGAAAAUUAAUAGUUUAACUUACUUAAUUGCUAAUAUAUACUUGAUUUCUCAGGCUAGUAGCUUGGACUCUGGCUAUUCAGUUAUUGCCCCUCCCUUUCUAUCAUAUUGUUUAGAGACAACUACUGCUACGUCAUUUAAAUAAGCUAUUUCUUUAUUUGUCACACUAGGAAACUGGUGAUGUCCCUACUGAUACAGUUGAGCUGACUGAGGAAGAAAAGGUCUACCUCAAUCAACUGAGCAAAAUCAACCAGUUUUAUCAGGCAUGGAAUCUUCCCCAGUAUCUUGAGGCUUAUCAUCAACAGCACAGUGUUAGGAACCCAUGGAAUCACAUUAAGACAAAUGGCUAUCAUCUAUUU